AGUAUCAAUUCUCCACAUAACCUUGCAGUUACGACAUACAUGUUGGAGCAGGUCGGCAUUGCUUUUCCUGACACAGACAGCGACGUGAUAACAGCUGCUUGCAAGACUUAUUUUGAGUCUUUGAAAAGGAGCCAUCGUCUCGAUCAGCCAGAAAAUGCUCCCCAGAAAAAGAAAUUAAACAAUGCAAUGAAGACUAGACAACGGAAAACAAGGUUGCUGGCCUCCAGGGCUAGAUGUGUACAGACUCCCGCUGCGGCAGCGACAGUCACUGGGGCAGAGCGGUGCCACGCAACGGGCGGCGCCACUGGGAGACAAUGGCUCGUUUUUAGCUCUGUUAAACUCUUAAGUUGACCUGUUUGGUAGAGGAGCAGGGGCCAUUCAGAUCAAACUGUAAAAAAAAAAAAAACUGCAAGAGAGAGAAGUGCUCACUGACUGGACUAAGUUUUGAUCUCUUUGCUUUUAAAAGUGCCUUUUUUGUUUUUUUCAUG